UCCGAUUUCUUACAGCAUGAAGAAGACCAGUCAAGGAGUGCCGCAUACCAUAGUGAGUGUAGUCCUUCCACAUCAAUCAAGAAUGGAGAAAAUACCCAGAUUCUUCCUGGUUAGUCAUGACCUGACACAAGACCCUCACUGAUGGGAUUCCAACGUGAAGGGAAACUUCUUCCAACCACUGCUUUCAAGCUGUUGUCAUGAGCACCAUUUUGAAUUAGGUGGGACAAAUGACAUGACCCAGCCCACCCCCACCUCCUGACUGCCCCAUCAAGAAACAGGCAUGGACAAAAAAGAACACUCAAGAGAUACUUUUAGAUACAGUUAGUUAACACAGAGUUAAUGUCCACUGGGAAAUUAUCUGGAGUGAGCCUGACCCGGUGAAGUGAAUGAAUGAUACUUCUUUUAAAAGGGAGUCGGAUAUUUGAAAUUGUCUUUAUGGGACCUGACACUAGGUAGGGCAUACAUACCAAACAAACAAGGGAGUUGAGAGAACAGACAGCUUCUUCUCUUUUCUUGACCUUACAGAAGCAUGGUGCCAGUGAGUUCUACAGCUGCUAACAGCCAUGUGAGGUUGAAAGGAGACCUCCUUCGUCGUGCUGUUUGCCGUCAGCAUUACUUAUCUGUAUCUGAUUUCUUCAUUGUGGUUUCUAUGGGCGGGGAUUUUUUCAUCUGUUUUGUUCGUUAACAAAUGCUUUAGUGCUUCAAGCAGUGACGAUUGCAUAUCAAGUAGUAAUAAAUAUUUGUCACAUGAAGAGGUGCAUGAA